rnacentral:rRNA from 1 species
UACGAAGGGUGCAAGCGUUACUCGGAAUUACUGGGCGUAAAGGGUGCGUAGGUGGUUUGUUAAGUCUGCUGUGAAAUCCCACGGCUCAACCGUGGAACGGCUGGGUAUACUGCCUGUCUUGAGCCAACUAGGGGCGAGCGGAACAGACGGUGGAGCGGUGAAAUGCGUAGAUAUCGUCUGGAACGCCGAAGGUGAAAACAGCUCGCUGGGGUUGUGCUGACGCUGAGACACGAAAGCCAGGGGAGCGAACGGG